CUCAACCAAGUUCUAAUUUAAUACUAGUUGAAACCCUAAUGGACUUCAAUCAAAUCCUAGACAAAUCCUAAAUCCUAAAUCAAAUCCUAGACCGAAUCCAAGAUCCUAAACCAAACCUUGAAUCAUACCCUAGACAAACCUUAAAUCCUAAAUCAAAUCCUAUACCAAAUCCUAGAUCCUAAACCAAAUCCAAAAUCAAAUCCUAGACAAAUUCUAAAUCUUAAACCAAAUCCUAAACCAAAAUCUAAAUCAAAUCCUACAUUAAAUCCUACACCCUAAAUCAAAUCUUAAAUCAAAUCCUAGACAUAUCCUAAAUCCUAAAUCAAAUCCUAAACAAAUUCUAAACCAAACCCUAAACAAAUCAUAAAUCUUAAACCAUAUCCUAGACAAAUCCUAAAUCCUAAAUCAAACCUUAAACCAAAUCCC
rnacentral:lncRNA from 1 species